GACGAACGCUGGCGGCGUGCCUAAUACAUGCAAGUCGAACGGUCUUUUCUAUGGAAGCUUGCUUCCACUGAGAAGAUAGUGGCGGACGGGUGAGUAACGCGUGGGUAACCUGCCUUGUACAGGGGGAUAACAGUUAGAAAUGACUGCUAAUACCGCAUAAGCCUUUAGUGCCGCAUGGCACAGAAGGAAAAGAUUUANCGGUACAAGAUGGACCCGCGUCUGAUUAGCUAGUUGGUGAGGUAACGGCCACAGGCUACGAUCAGUAGGGUUCUGAGA
rnacentral:rRNA from 1 species